UACGGAGGGGGCUAGCGUUGUUCGGAAUUACUGGGCGUAAAGCGCACGUAGGCGGCUUUGCAAGUCAGAGGUGAAAGCCCGGGGCUCAACCCCGGAAUUGCCUUUGAGACUGCAUCGCUAGAAUUGUGGAGAGGUGAGUGGAAUUCCGAGUGUAGAGGUGAAAUUCGUAGAUAUUCGGAAGAACACCAGUGGCGAAGGCGACUCACUGGACACAUAUUGACGCUGAGGUGCGAAAGCGAUGGGGAGCAA
rnacentral:rRNA from 1 species